UUGUAUUGAAAUGUUAUUUCUGAUAUACAGCCCAUAUAUAGUUGCGUGGUGGAACGUGGCACAAAUGAGCAGAUAUGGAAAAUACGUUUCGGUAUAAACAGAUAGGCUUGAUACGAUGCUGGAAUUGACACUUGCAAUUGGAAUUUUAACGACUUAGUGACUUCUUUUUACAGCAAAUUUUUACCGUCUUAAGAAAAACGAUGUUUCACAGUCUUUCAAAUAGCAUCGUUCUCUAAUCAUUAAUGUUAUCCCACAUUAUCUUCAUAAUGAUGAGGCCUUCCAUUGAAUGUGACUAUCAUGAAAAAAAAAUUAUCGUUCCAUUUGAUUUUCAUAUCUAUGCAAAGCUUCUUACAAUCGAUAUAAUGCAUAUUAAUGACUAGUGGUGCAUUCAGAGUUCUGAAUACUAAUCAAUUUAAAACGAUAAAAUGUUAAAUAAAUCAAUUUACCACAGAUAAGCGUUCAGAUUGCUGAUUUUGAACUAGAAGAAUUUUUGGAUUCAUUAAGAUGCUAUUUUACUAUCAAUAUUGGUGGUCGGCGUAGUUUCUAGAUAAAUUUCAAGUUACUUUCAAAAGUUUCAUAGUACAAUAGAGAAAGGUUUGGUAAUAAUGCGAAAAGAAACUUAUAAACCAACAAUGGUGCGUUAAAAUCGCAAUACAAUGUAUGAGAAGUAAGGAAUUAUACGGAUUUUCCUUCAACGGUAUCACUUAUUUUACAUUAAAAUUUAUUAUGGAAGGAGGGGUUUUGUAUUUUCGGAAUAUCACCAUCAAAGCUGCGACCCACAGCACUGAUUUUCAAGAUAAAUAUAAAAGUAAAGGCAGCCAUAUUGCAGUCCCCCCGGGACCGAAUUCUCUCUCGACUGCCCUACUGAAUCUUUGCGAAUGCUUGAGGUGGCUUUCGGUCCUCAGGUUCUAACGGAAGCAACACUUGAAUUACAAACAUUAUUGGAUGAAGAUGACACGCACACUCAAAAACAAUUGGCUGAGGCAUUAAAUGUGUAAUAGCCAGCAAUUUCCGUGCCAUGGCUUAAAGCCAUGGAAAAAGUUGGAAAUAGGGUGGAAAAAUGAGUAACACAUCAAUUGAGCAAAGGCCGCAAGAAAACCGUCGAACAAUUUGUGAAAUGCUACUGAAAAGGUACAAAAGGAAGUCAUUUUUGCAUCGAAUUGUGAUUAGUAAUGGAAAGUGAAUUCAUUUCUCGAAUCCUAAGCUCAAAAACUUAUGUGUUAGUCCCGGCGAGGCAUGAAAAUCGUGCUAAGCGGUAAGAAGCGCUUGGUUGCUGUGUAUUUUGGUGGGAUCAGUGUGGAUUUAUCUAUUACUAGCUGACCCGUCGAACUUCGUCUCGCCCAAAAAUUAUUUGUUGCAGUUUAUGUUUGCGGACAUCAGAAUUGUCAAACGACUAAGUGGUUAUCAUCGGAUAAUCCUGCACCAUUCGCAUCUACUGCGUCAAUCUAAAAAACUUUUACUUAUACAUUAAGUAUCGCUAGCGCAAAAGAGUGAAAGAGAUACCAAAUCAAAGCAUUCAUCAGGUCGACAUUUUCUUGGUAGAGUAUUAAAAAGCAUCGGACAUUCGUUUUUGUUUUAUUUAUUGAGGUUUUAACCUUUGUUUUGACAUUACCUACUCCUAGAUUUUUACAUCGGUUGAGAAGCACUUCGAGAUUGUUACAAUUCUUUUCAUUUGUGUACUUCAUUAUUAUGAUGGCAAACUAAUUCGUACAUACGUUUAGUUUUCCGGAUAGUUUUUCGUGUGGACGUCAUGUCUGAACGAUUAAUUUAAGUGAGUCCGGCCAGACGUCCGGUUAUUUGACUAAAGCUCUUUAAUAAUUUUCUUCCAUGAAAAACUGAUAAAAUUGACAUGAAGACAAAACGCAAAACUUACCUGACGCUACACACACUCAAUUCAGACAAUCGUUCAGUUCUUUAUUCCGUCCAAGGUUCAUUUGAACUGUCCGGAAAACUGAUGGUUUAUGGGCCGCUUUAAAGUUUAAACGCAGUAAGCGACAUCGUUCUUUUAACCAAAUGUCAUCCAUGCCCGCAUAGCGUUUUGGCUACCUGAGCAGCCAUGGCCACCAGACGACUACCAAAAUUGAUUCAGUGACGGUUGUCAAAUCCAAUUUGACAAAACAAAGUCGCCUGUAUCUAAGUUAGCCGAGCGUUUUCAUCUUCUCACCUUCGCUGAAAAUGUCAAAGAUUUCAAUGUGGAAAAAUCCUGGUGGGUACGGUUGUAUCGACGACACGACCAGGCACUCCGAAGUAAGAUAGGAAUAAAAAGUGUUCGUGAUUGAUUUACCGCCAGUUACCACAAAUAUAGCGACCCCUUGAUAAUGAUAAAAAUAAUCUUCUUGCGCAACACUGUUUAAGUUGCUACGAGCUAGCUGCCACGGAGCCCCAUAAUAAAUAAACAAACCUUUAGAGAAAAUGUAGAUAAAGUUUUAUUAAUUUAAAUUUUGUGCCAUCUUGAAAUUAUUGUGAAGAAAUCGAGAUUGUGAAAGCUGUACGAGGCCCUGCGCACUAUCGGCCGUGAACUGGUCCCCCUAGGGGAAUAUAACUGCCCGGCCCUCGUUUAACAUUUACUUCUAAAAUACAAACAGAUGCCCAUGUUUGCAACGCUGAAAUGGAAUUAUCAAAUAUGACGGAAAUCAUCCUGCACCAGAGCCAGGUUCAACAGUUUAUCAUGUAUUGGAACAAAUUAAAAAAAUGUAAGAUUAGAUUAGAUUGAUAGUAAUCAAGCUAAUGUUACAACGUUCUUUGUGUAUUUACGGCGACCGGAACUGGAAGCACAAUGUCAAAUCUGACACAAGGUGCAUUGCUGCCACAGACAGGAAUAUCCACUCGACUUUCCGAAACACAUGAGCGUUGCUUGAUAUACUGACAAUAAACCCGGAAUUUCGUGCCAGUAUGCGCGAAACGAAGAUAAAA